rnacentral:sRNA from 1 species
AUGUAUGUCACAGGAAUGGACCAGGGAAUAAAAUUAUACAGAAGAAUCACGUCCACCCCAUUUCCCUAGAUCUUUUCUACCCAUGCCAAGCCCCUGACCAACUCUCCCCUUUCAGAGCGUGUAACUACAAAUGAAGCAAAGAGAAACCUCUAGCUUUAGCAGAGGAGAUAUGGAAAGGUUUCCACUGUGUCACAGGAGAGGCUCCUGGAAAGGGCACCCCAGAAUCUGGUCGCCAUAAGGAAAUCUGGUUAGCAGGGUAUGGUGUUCUGAAGCCAAGUUACAUCCUAUACAGCUGUGAAUACGCCUGAGGAGCUGUCUCCUUGGUUUUCUGAAGCAUCACUAAGGGAGCCAGAGGAAAUCAGAGCUCAACAGAGCUCUGGGGAUGCUGACAUUCACAGCUUCAGCUCUUUAUCAGGCGAGGUCAAAAGAUCACCUGUCUGGUCCGUCCUUGAAUAUCCUCCAGUGUGCGGGGUUGGACUGUAAUGAAGUCUGCAGGAGAGGAGCUGGCCCUCAGAUGCUACAUGUCAGUGUGUGUGGGAAACACCUGAACUCUGCCAUUACAGAUCAGAGAGAUGAGCUGCAAUCUCAUUCAAUAGAUUGUGUGCAUUCCUGGGCUUUGGCUACGACCAUGCAGAGAGCCCUAAUUAGGAAUAGAGUUGACAUCCAACUCUGCUAGACCAGGACUUCAACACCUGAGAAGAUGAAAAUCAUUCAACAACUCUUGUUAAGCCUCGGGUCCAAGGAGCAUGUAUGGAAGGAAAAGUUUCAGAGAUCCGAGAAAAUGCAUGCCAGGCUGACCAUGGGCUGGCUUCUUUGCAGGGACCAUCAGCAUGAGAAGAAAGGUAAAAUGGGGCUUUAAUAAAUCUGUAUGGUUUAAGAAUACUAAGUCUCUCCCCUUACUUUCCCCUUCCCUGCCCGUGUGUUCCUAAUGGAUGUUGUACCUAAAUGUAGCAGUGUCACCCUUUCAAGAGCAUGGAAGUUGUCACAUGUGGCACCCAACAGAACUUGACUUUUGUCCCCUGAUUGAAGCUCCUGACCAGUGAUGAUCUACAACAUCUUUCCCCCAUGAUUGCUGCUU